UUGAACGCUGGCGGCAUGCUUUACACAUGCAAGUCGAACGGCAGCGCGGGCUUCGGCCUGGCGGCGAGUGGCGAACGGGUGAGUAAUGCAUCGGAACGUGCCCAGUAGUGGGGGAUAGCCCGGCGAAAGCCGGAUUAAUACCGCAUACGACCUGAGGGUGAAAGCGGGGGGCCGAAAGGCCUCGCGCUAUUGGAGCGGCCGAUGUCGGAUUAGCUAGUUGGUGGGGUAAAGGCUUACCAAGGCGACGAUCCGUAGCUGGUCUGAGAGGACGACCAGCCACACUGGGACUGAGACACGGCCCAGACUCCUACGGGAGGCAGCAGUGGGGAAUUUUGGACAAUGGGGGCAACCCUGAUCCAGCCAUGCCGCGUGCGGGAAGAAGGCCUUCGGGUUGUAAACCGCUUUUGUUCGGGAAGAAAUCCUCUGGGCUAAUACCCCGGGGGGAUGACGGUACCGGAAGAAUAAGCACCGGCUAACUACGUG
rnacentral:rRNA from 1 species